UGUGAAUGUACAUUUGUGGCUGAGGUGUCGAGCCAUGUUAGUGACUGCACUCAUGGCACAGAUACAUGGUGUUGGUCAUAAGAAAGGAAAUGAUGUGGCUGAGCGCAGAAGAGUGAUAAAAGAUGUAAUAUUAGAGGCAGAAGCCUUUGGUGAUAUUGAGACUCAGGCUGAAAUUAUGGUGCAAGCUGCUAUUCUUGACCUGCAAGAAAAACGUCCUGUGGCAGACAUUAAACUUCUUUUGCAGAUUUUUGAUAGUGGUGAACCCAUUGAACGGCAAGGAGAAGGCAGUACAAUGACUUGCCUGGUCUUACCCUCGAAGAAUAUCUACCUGCCACAUAUUAACUUGCUAGCCCUAGUCAAAAUGAAAAUUGGACACACAUUAGCUGAAAAAGUAGCUUCCACAGCUGCAAGACAUCCCUUGCAAUGGCUACAUGCUCUCAGGCAUUUAGAAUCAGCAUUGAAUCUUUGCAGAGCAGCUGCAACAAA
rnacentral:lncRNA from 1 species